rnacentral:rRNA from 1 species
UACAGAGGGUGCAAGCGUUGUUCGGAAUUAUUGGGCGUAAAGCGCGUGUAGGCGGCUUUGCAAGUCGGGUGUGAAAUCCCUCAGCUUAACUGAGGAAGUGCGCCCGAAACUGCCGAGCUUGAAUACCGGAGAGGAUGGCGGAAUUCCCCAAGUAGAGGUGAAAUUCGUAGAUAUGGGGAGGAACACCGGUGGCGAAGGCGGCCAUCUGGACGGCUAUUGACGCUGAAUCGCGAAAGCUAGGGGAGCAAACGGG